CAGAAUAUACUUAUUCUCACCCUCUGUGUACCAAACCACUGUUGCCUCGGCGCGCCCCUGCGUCAGAGGACCUAAACGCUGAAAUUAUACUGUCUGAGUUGCUAUGCAAAAUAGUCA
rnacentral:misc_RNA from 1 species